rnacentral:lncRNA from 1 species
GGUUGAAUAUGAAAAGUAAUCAUCAUAUGGUCCUUUAGCUGAUAUUUACUGCUUUCCCCUAAUGUUUAGCUUCUACCAUUGUUUUUGCCUCUGAAGCCCUCUGUGGAAGAGCCUGCUCUACAAAUACCAACCAGAACACCUGCCCCAGAGCUCAGAAGUAUUGAAGUUGGAAGAUCAUCCAGAGAACAGGAGAGAGGCACAUGAGUCAUUGGUGUCCAGGGAGAAAA